rnacentral:rRNA from 1 species
UUUAUGGAGAGUUUGAUCCUGGCUCAGGAUGAACGCUGGCGGCGUGCCUAAUACAUGCAAGUCGAGCGAACAGACGAGGAGCUUGCUCCUCUGACGUUAGCGGCGGACGGGUGAGUAACACGUGGAUAACCUACCUAUAAGACUGGGAUAACUUCGGGAAACCGGAGCUAAUACCGGAUAAUAUAUUGAACCGCAUGGUUCAAUAGUGAAAGACGGUUUUGCUGUCACUUAUAGAUGGAUCCGCGCCGCAUUAGCUAGUUGGUAAGGUAACCGCAUU